rnacentral:rRNA from 1 species
GACAGAGGCCCCAAGCGUUAGGCGGAAUCACUGGGCUUAAAGCGUGUGUAGGCGGACGCCUAAGUGUCUUGUGAAAUCCCACGGCUCACCCGUGGAACUGCUGGGCAUACUGGGCGUCUUGGGUCAACUAGGGGCAGCCGGAACAAGCGGUGGAGCGGUGAAAUGCGUAGAUAUCGCUUGGAACGCCGAAGGUGAAAACAGGCUGCUGGGGUUGUGCCGACGCUGAGACACGAAAGCCAGGGGAGCAAACGGG